GCAUUGUGAUGGGAGGAGGAAAGGGAUAAUCUGAAACCUGAGCGUUAACAUCCGUGUGAGAACACGUGGGAGCAAGGAACAAGGACUAAAAGUUGAUCCUCACGGAGUGUUUUUUCACGCAGAGGAUCCCAGCACCCUCUCCACCACAAUGAACACUGAGAGCCGUGAGCACAGAGUAAGCAAAGGACAGCCAAGGAGCCAAGGAAACGAGGUGCAGCUGAGCCAGCAACAUCAAGAACUUCACUGGUGAAGCUCAAGCACCAGAAAUUCAGAAAUACAAACUCCAGUCCUGCUGCUACUCUGAACAAUGCACUGACAGCCAACAGAAAUCAAGGAUGAAGCAACUAAUAGACAGAUCACCAGCUCCUGAAACACAAGGCAUCGAUCGAGCGGCGCCCAGAAGGCCAUCUGAUAGCAUCGCUAUGUGAUGGGCUCAGGAAAUGAAGAGAGCCAUAUCUAUGUGAAACCAAAGGCGAUAUUUUGAACAGGAAGCUGGUUAGGAGUGGGAGCAGCUGAAUGAAAACAGUGUCAAAGAGAAGAAAAACAAAAUAAUAGCUUGCUUUCCA
rnacentral:lncRNA from 1 species